AAUGCAAGUUNGGCAAAGCACCCCUAAAGGGUGCCCGGGGCUUCUCCCGUUU
rnacentral:tRNA from 1 species